ACAUAGUGGCGCUGCCAUAUCGACCAGAGGGCGUUACAUGACCCCAGAUGAAAAAUUAACUUCAGCUGGAGGAAGCGACAGACCGUUGUACCUCCACAUUCAGGCAUCAGAUCAAAAUGCUGUGAAUUUGGCUGUUAGAAGAAUUCAUGAGUUUAUUGCUAGAAAUACCAAAGGACUUUCUGGUAUUAGCACCAUCACCACAGUCCCAACAACUAUUUAACGGUUUGACUUCAACUGUCAGUAUGUCACAGAUGUCUUCAGGACAUCAUUUUGUUCAAGAGAAAGUGUAUGUUGGAUUAGAGCACGCUUCACUAUCUUCGAUUCGAGAAAAGAUUCUAGGACCGGAAGGAUCCUACCUUCAACACAUAAGAACUGAAACAGGUGCUAGUGUUACCUUAAGGGGCAAGGGUUCAGGAUUCAUGGAACCUACCUCUGGGAGAGAAGCCUUCGAACCUCUUCAUAUUCACAUCACUCAUCCAAAGCCAGAAGGUCUACAAGCUGCUAAAGCUUUAGCUUUAAAUUUAGUCCAGACGGUACACUCUGAACUGAGUCAGUGGACAUCACAUACUGCAGUACCUGUAAGACCAGUGAUCAGCUAUACAACACCUGAAAUAUCAUCACAGUCAUCAGGUGUUUACUUGACAUCUUCUAAUUCAGUGGUUCCAUUGAUUGCCCAAGCAGCAUCCACCAAUAAUAUUGCAGAUGGUUUCCCAGCAUAUGGUGCAUUUUCACAAGUUGUUACCCAUCCAUGGAGUGGAGAGUCUAUGGUGACUUAUGUGACAAAUGCUUCUUCCUGUUUUCCAACACAAGUGAUAACAGGUGGAAUUGGCAGCAUUAUACCGCCAACCCUGAAUACCUUGGCUCCCAGUGGUUCUGCAACAACGAGACUGGUGCCAGACUCCACUGUAAUUCUUCCUCCAACCGGCAUCAUGACUCCCUCAGAAGUCUCGGAGCUCUGUAUGACUGUUCCUUCAUCCAUUACCGUGACCAUGGGAUCGCUUGCCCCUUCCUCAAUUGAAGGAAUUGUUUCUUCUGUUGUUGCCCCCGUUUCUGUUACAAGCUUGGGACCUAUUUUUACAACUCCACUCUACAGACCUAUAACAAUGACAGUGCCUUUUGUAUCUGUACCUCCUCCGCUGAUUUCAGAGCCAUAUCCUUUAGUUCCUCAGUCAUCAAUAUCAGGAGGUGUUACUACCAUACCUCCUCCUCCAAUAUCUAGAACAAUAACCAUACCACAUUCAUCCGUGUCGGAGACAUUAGCCCAUAUGGCUGUUCCUUCAGUUUCAGUACCCGUUCUUCCUGUUCCCCCACCAUCAUUACCUAGAUCAAUUGCUCCUUUGUUAUCUGACGCAACUGCCCAUAUUCCCCCACCCUCAAUUUCGGGGACAAUGGUUUCUGCCCCUCCUCCAUCAAUAUCUGGAGCAGUUGCUCCUGUUCCACCACCACCUAUAUCAAAUAACAUUAUUCCCAUGGCUCCCUCAACAUUAUCUGGAACAGUUUUCCCAAUGGUUCCACACUCUAUACCGGGUACAAUGGACUUAUUGACCUCCUCUUCUCCCUCAGGAACUGUUGAGUUUAAUAACUCUGCAUCUGUGGCUGGCUCUGUGAACUCUAUACCCCACAUGACAAUUCCUGCUGCAUACAGUUCAGCAAUAAUGAGGCAGAUGUCAGUUGCAGGUGCACCUUUAGACACAAUACGUUCCUUUCCCCACCCUCCAGUUAGUUCUUCUGUUACUUUCAUGUCACCCACUUGUCCUCCCCCUCCUACUGGGACUCCUUUCCAAAGCGAAAUAGCUCAAGCAAGACUGUCAUCAUACAUGGAAUCUGGGAGAAGUGUUUACCCACCUAUUAGCAGACCUCGAAAACAUCAAAAACGAAGAUUUACAGAAGCACCUGUUCAAACAAAUGCACUUGAAGAUACAUCUGCUAACUCCGUGUCUUUAAGAUUACAGGAGUUUGUUCCCUCAACUCAGAAAAAUGAAACUGUUUCACCGCAAGAAGCUGUUCAAGAAAAAGAUCGGGAACUGAUGCCACCACCGCCUCCGAUACCAGGGAAAAAAGGCUGUCAAGGUGAAGCGUUUCACUUCCGAUUAGAGGACAAAACUCGUCAAAAGGGAGGACUUGAAGAACCAGAAAGGAAACGUUUGAAGGGUGCUCUGAAGGGUAUUGCCGGUAAGUCACUUUGUUUAUUUGACCUGUGAAACAAAUAGUUAGAAACUUCUAAAACUUGCUGUGAUUAAUAAUAGUGAGGGUUUUUAUUCUUCAUAAACACGACUUUCCUUUUAUAUUUUAUUGACAGUUAGUCGUACAAAGUAAUCUAUAAUAUAGAGAGAAUAUAUUCAAAAAAAAAAUUUUUUUUCUGUGGAUUAUUACAAAAAUUCUUUCAAAUUAUUUUCAUUUCUCACAAAAGCCCGAAGGCUCCUGUUUCAGAUGGGGUAAGAUUUAAAAUAUGAUAGUCAUGACGUGAGGACUAAACACCUCUUUUAUACUUUUGAGUUAUGCUGCUCUACAUUUGUUAAUCUAUUAUUAAUUUAGAAUAAAACAAAUAACUUCACAUCCUUUCUUAUAAUAAUAGGCUGUGAAAAUGAAUUUCCAUGAUCUCAUUCAUCUGACAGGGCAUUAUAACAGUGGCAAUAGUCUCUUUAAUAGUUUAUUGAUGAACAAGUAAGAAUCUUGGAUAUUUUGUGUAUAGUAAGGCAUGCUUGUUUAAAACUAUAUAAUGAAUUACAGUAUUUUUAACAGUACGGCAAGUGUUUCUAGCCUGUAUGGCGUAUGUUAGAUUAUAUUUAUUUUGAGCAGAGAUAAAUAGAAUUCUGUAAGAAGUUCUGCAUUUAUUUUGAACGGGAAUUCUUAUACCUAGAACUUUUCCAAAAUUUAAGACAGAGUGUGAUGAGAUUAUUUGAUUAUGUGGGCAGAUAGCACGUGUAUGUGAAAGUGUCAGUUUACGUGGCAGUUAGCACGUGCAUGUGAAAGUGUCAGUUUAUGUGGCAGUUAACACAUGUAUGUGUUAGUAUCAGUUUAUGUGGCAGUUAACACAUGUAUGUGAAAGUGUCAGUUUAUGUGGCAGUGAGCACAUGCAUGUGAAAGUGUCAGUUUAUGUGGCAGUGAGCACAUGCAUGUGAAAGUGUCAGUUUACCUGGCAGUUAGCACGUGCAUGUGAAAGUGUCAGUUUACGUGGCAGUUAACACAUGUAUGUGUUAGUAGCAGUUUAUGUGGCAGUGAGCACAUGUAUGUGUUAGUAUCAGUUUAUGUGGCAGUUAACUCAUGUAUGUGUUAGUGUCAGUUUAUGUGGCAGUUAACACAUGUAUGUGUUAGUAUCAGUUUACGUGGCAGUGAGCACGUAUGUGUUAGUAUCAGUUUACGUGGCAGUGAGCACAUGUAUGUGUUAGUGUCAGUUUACGUGGCAGUGAGCACAUGUAUGUGUUAGUGUCAGUUUACGUGGCAGUUAACACAUGUAUGUGUUAGUAUCAGUUUAUGUGGUAGUGAGCACAUGUAUGUGAAAUUGUCAAUUUACGUGACAGUUAACACAUGUAUGUGUUAGUAUCAGUUUACAUGGCAGUGAGCACAUGUAUGUGUUAGUGUCAGUUUAUGUGGCAGUUAACACAUGUAUGUGUUAGUGUCAGUUUAUGUGGCAGUUAACACAUGUAUGUGUUAGUGUCAGUUUACGUGGCCGUGAGCACAUGUAUGUGUUAGUGUCAGUUUAUGUGGCAGUUAGCACAUGUAUGUGUUAGUGGCAGUUUAUGUGGCAGUUAGCACAUGUAUGUGUUAGUGUCAGUUUAAUGUGGUAGUUAACACAUGAAUGUGAAAUUGUCAGUUUACGUGGCAGUUAACGCAUGUAUGUGUUAGUGUCAGUUUACGUGGCAGUUAAUGCAUGUAUGUGUUAGUGUCAGUUUAUGUGGCAGUGAGCACAUGUAUAUGAAAUUGUCAGUUUACGUGGCAGUUAACACAUGUAUGUGUUAGUGUCAGUUUAUGUGGCAGUGAGCACAUGUAUGUGAAAUUGUCAGUUUACGUGGCAGUUAACACAUGUAUGUGUUAGUGUCAGUUUAUGUGGCAGUUAACACAUCUAUGUAUUAGUGUCAGUUUAUGUGGCAGUUAACACAUGUAUGUGUUAGUGUCAGUUUAUGUGGCAGUGAGCACGUGCAUGUGAAUGUGUCAGUUUAUGUGGCAGUGAGCACAUGUAUGUGUUAGUGUCAUUUACGUGGCAGUUAACACAUGUAUGUGUUAGUGUCAGUUUAUGUGGCAGUGAGCACAUGCAUGUGAAAGUGUCAGUUUAUGUGGCAGUGAGCACAUGUAUGUGUUAGUAUCACUUCAAGUGGCAGUUAACACAUGUAUGUGUUAGUGUCAGUUUAUGUGGCAGUUAACACAUGUAUGUGUUAGUGUCAGGUUAUGUGGCAGUUAACACAUGUAUGUGUUAGUAUCACUUCAAGUGGCAGUUAACACAUGUAUGUGUUAGUAUCACUUCAAGUGGCAGUUAACACAUGUAUGUGUUAGUGUCAGUUUAUGUGAAACAUCAUAGAGUUCUAGUGUUUAGUUUUACUUGUAAACAACAGUUAUGUUGUCUCAACAUGUGAUUAUUUUAGGGCUAAACUAAUCUAGGUUAUUUGUACUUGAUUGAUAGUUGGUUUUUUACUGUUUUGUAUGAUAAAUGUUGGUUUUGCUGUGUAAAUCACAUUUUUUAGCAGUUUAUGGAUCUGAUGAAUCAGAUGAAGAUAACAGUCCUGCGGGUAGUCCUACUAACUGGCCACCUUCCCCAGAAAGUGGUUCCACAAGAUCAAAAGGAAAAGUCUGAUAAAAGCUAACAUGUCAGUAUGUGUGUGUAUUUUUUUUUUUGUUAUUGAAUUGGUGGCAUUGUAAAUAGCCAUUAAAAAUUUAUGUUUUGCUUAUUUUUGUAUGCAUGGUUGGUAUAUUUUAAAAGUCAUGCUUGAGCAUUCAAUUAACUUUCUUGGAUUGAAAUGGGGUCAGAAUUUUCUGAAGGUCAUUGAGAAGUACAGUAUGAAGUACAUAUGUUUGACCAAAAUCUGUUUUAACUUUAAUGUUAACCAUUCUAUUUCUGUCACAAAAUCAAAAAUCGCAAAGCUUUAAAAAUAGAUCACUAGAAUAAUUUUUUGUAAAGGAUUCUUGAGUCAGCUGAUUACGAUUGUUAGUCUUGAUAAUAAUCAUUCUAAUCAGAACUGUUGACUUUAAAAAUAAUCCUGUGAAAUAGCUAUAAUAAAAAAUAAAUCUCUAAUUCACAUUUUAAACUUUGAGUCUUAGAGAUACUAACUGCCUCCAGCAAAGCGUCUUUGAAGUAGAUGUGUCACUGCUCCAACUUUACAAUUAGUAUUGUGUGAAGUCGAGAUGGAGGCUGUCACAGACGUGAAGCAUCGACCAACGUUGUCAGAUGAAUUGAAAGUAUUUGACCAGAGAGCAUUGUGGCUGUUUAAUAUCCUACUGGUCAUCAUGGACUGUUUGAUCAGUGGGAAGAAUAAAGAAAGUGACUGUUUGUAUAGUAUUACAUUAUAAAUUACAGAUGAAAAUUGAAUAAUCAUGGUCUUCUGUUCUAAAUGAAUUACACCUACUACUACACUUAUAAAACUUACAGACUUUUAAUACACAUCAUUAUCAGUAUGACAGAAAUAACUUCCCAAAUUGGAGGGAGUUAAUUCUUUGAAGCUUAUUUUAAGUUUAAUCUUUGAAACUCUUAUCUUUAUUUAAGGUUGUUUUCCAGAUGUUGAUGACAAUAUAUUACAAGAUUCAAGGUGAUGCUAUUCCACAGAACAUGUGACAUAAAAACAUCUACAUUAACAACAUUUCUAAAGAAUGCUGACAACAUUAAUGAAAUUUAAACACUUUGAAGCAACUUUAAGAAAGAAACAGGAGUAUCGAUCUUUUCUGAGGACGUGUAUUUUUAAAGCUGAUAUUAAGUUAAAGCACUUUGUAACUUUAGGGAUAAAUCAAGUGGGUUUAAUAGCUUUGUAAUUGUGUACGAGAUCUAUUUAAGGACAUGCUGGAUCUACUCCUAAAAGUUUGUGUAAUUACAGCAGUUUAACACCACGAUGUUAAAAAAUUUCCACAAAGGUAUAUUGGCAAUCACUGUUUGCAAGCGUAUGGUGUAAGCCUGUCUUGCUGUUAUUUUCUUCUUAUUCAUGGUGGUUGGGAAAAGUUUCAACUUUAAAUUAGAUAAAUAACUUUGAAAUAAAAUAUGGUGCAAUUUUUUUUUUUUCAGACAGACGUUCAUAGACACAAGAAGUAAUUAACUCAAUAUUUUGCAUAUACUUUUGUGAUGAAUUACAUUCCUUAUCUGGCUUUACACUUUGUUAUUAAAAUUGUAAAGAUUUGUUAUGAUAUGUAAGUGAAAGAAAACAUAAACCAAGUGCUGUAUCUUUUUAAUUAAAGUUACAGAUGGUGUGAUGCCUUUCAGCUUGAAAACAAGUUUACCUUUAAUGAUGUAGCACUGGAGUGAUAUUUUAUUAGAAAUUAAUGUUGAAAUAACAGUUGACAUUUUCCUAAAAACAAUGUUGUGACUCUUAAAUAGAUUGCAUCUUUUGUUUUUACCUUGUAUGUGCUGGUAUGAUAUAUUAUUUUUUAUUUUUUGCGAUUCAUGCAAAUUCAUGUGCAUUGAAACUUCAACCAUUGCAAUUGUAAAGAAUAACCAUGUCAGUUGAAUUGGAAUUGUAAAGAAUAACCAUGUCAGUUGAAUUGGAAUUGUAAAGAAUAACCAUGUCAGUUGAAUUGGAAUUGUAAAGAAUAACCAUGUCAGUUGAAUUGGAAUUGUAAAGAAUAACCAUGUCAGUUGAAUUGGAAUUGUAAAGAAUAACCAUGUCAGUUGAAUUGGAAUUUUAAAGAAUAACCAUGUCAGUUAAAUUGGAAUUUU